rnacentral:rRNA from 1 species
UACGGAGGGGGCCAGCGUUGUUCGGAAUUAUUGGGCGUAAAGGGCGCGUAGGCGGUCAAGCAAGUCGGACGUGAAAUCCCUCGGCUCAACCGAGGAACUGCGUCCGAAACUUCUUGACUUGAGUCCCGGAGAGGAUAGCGGAAUUCCCAGUGUAGCGGUGAAAUGCGUAGAUAUUGGGAGGAACACCCGUGGCGAAGGCGGCUAUCUGGACGGGUACUGACGCUGAGGCGCGAAAGCUAGGGGAGCAAACAGGAUUAGAUACCCCCGUA